UCGACAGCACUCACAAAUUGUUUGGAGCAGUUUCUCACUCUGUAAUUUAGAAAACAAGUGGAUAUUAAUUAUAAUCAACUGAAACAACUUUCAAAAUCGUUUGCCAGCGAUAAAGAAAGUAUUUUAAACUCGACUUACACACUGGACUCUGUACUGCAGGUAACAACAAGGAUUCACUGGGAAAAUGAUGAGUCAGCCAGGAUGUGGCCUGCCUUCAAAAAUAUCCCAGCCUGCCAGUGUCCUUGCCACCCAGAUCAGCCAUCCACAUGAUGACGGACUUCCAUGAUGUGCCAUCUUUCAUUAACCUCCCUUUGAUGCCUGGCUGUAGACCUCAAAGAAGAACCCACUACCCAGGGGACAGAUGAAGAUGAUGGCAAGGGCGUCGUUCUUUCUGGUGCAGACAGGAGAAAGUCUCUACCCUGAGAAGGAUAUGAACCCACACUCCGGUUGUAAUGAGAUGUUUGAUCAUAAUGCACACCCCAUUUGCAGAAAACCAACAAAGGAAUAACAAAGACAUUCCAGUCAGCAAAUCUACAAAUGAAUGUCUGAAAAAUCAGCUGCUGUGGUUGGACAUGAAAUCAGGAUUCUGGUCUCAUGUAACCUGAACAAGAGUGUUCAUUUAGGAUGCAAACUGUUAAAAAAAAUCACAAGUUAUGGUGUUGCAGAUAUUGUGUUUUACCUAGAAUAGUCAAAAGUAAAGUUUAUUUGGCUCAAAAAUCCAUUUGAUCAAUGUAGCAAACGUAAGUUUGAACCAGUGGAUGCUGGGAGUGGUUCAGGAGAGGGUCAGUCUUCCACUCACUCCAGUCUGGCUCUGUGCUGCUAUGCAACGCAUGUGUUUCACAAUCCAAUCAGUUCCCAAUAGAUAAAAUCAAAUCCCACCCUACGUUUACAUCAUAGUCUGUCAAAACACUGUGAAACUGAACACAACUAGCGAUUUCAUUUUGUUAUUGUUGUUAAUGUUGGACCAUGAGCUGAAAAAAUAUUAUGUUCGAAAGCAGUUGCUUCCAUCUGUAAUUACAGUAAGUCUACUUGCGCUAACAAAGACAUUUUGACAAUUGUUUUAGUAGAGCAGACUAAGAUGUUUAAACUGUCUCAUAGGGUUGCAAAGGGGUGGAAAA